AAGUAUCCAUACUGCAUUCGUGGUCAUGCCAUUGAAACCUAAUCCUUUGCAGGUCUCUGGACUGGUGAAUUGUUCCGUCUGCCAUAAUGAACCUCUGUGGGCUGAAGGCACCACAAGGAGAGAUGACACUGGAUGGGGUUGAGCUAGUGUUACUCCGGCCAGGUUUUUAUUGAAGACAUAAGGCCCGGUAGUCAUAUGCAAAGUCCCUCAGGCGUUGCCGUGGCUGCUGUACCAUCGUCCUCAGUUUUUCCUCCACUUCUGAGAGCUCAGAGCGGGUCCCUUCAGUACCGUACUUAAGGUUUCUAGUAGUUCAGCACAGAGAAGGGGCCGGAUCUCCAGGAAGUUCUCACAUUGCUCGAUGAAGUUGAGCACCUCCGCCGUCUCACAGGAGUCUCCGAAAGAGGGGAACUCUAUGCGGAUAGGCGGACGGGCACAGAAUGAGGAUGCACCUGCCACUACAGAGGAGAUACUAGAGCUGGGGUCAGUGGUUGACGGACAGUGGAAAAAUGGGAGAAAUCUGGUGAAUAGGCUUGUAAUCUGGAGAGUGUGGGAGUGCUAGUGAGCCUCAUUUUUCUCAUUUGACUUUCCCAUUUUGCAUCUCUCCUCAGAAAACAAUCUGUUACAGCCUUUUCUAAUUUUUCCAGUGCCUUAAUGAAGUACUCCUCCAACCCUGCCAAGCUAGAGUCCACGGCCUGCCUAAAGCUUGCUUCCCUAUUCAAUGUACUGUCCAUUGACUGUUUGAAAUCUUGUUCCAAAGUAUGUAAUUUUUGAUUUAGAGCCAAUAAAUUACCUUUACAUUGAGUCAAGUCAGUAUGCAUCAAUUGUACCAUGCCUA